CAAAUUUGACCCAUGGUGGAGGAUAUCAUGUUGAGACUACAAGACUGGGGAAGCUUUCUCAAUUGAAUGCAUGCAAGGAAGUUGAGAUGGUGGAGAGUGGGAAUGAUGGUCAUCAGCCUACAACAAAUGGAAGCAAACAAAAGAGAGGACAUAGUGUUUCUGCAAGCAUGCCCUCUGCAGAUAAGGUUCUCUCUCUCUUUUUCUACCCCCUCCUUUUUUUUUUUCCUUUUUCUAUGAGACGUCUUGUUUUGCUAUCAAGUGGUGGUGCGGUUUUCAUCAAUUUGUAGUACAAAUAGCAAGCUUUCUUUGUGUUUUGCAUAUAUAUUUUCAUCAUGAGUUCAUGACAUCAAGACCUUCACUGAUAAAAAUAUAAGAUUACCUUGGUAAAGCAACAAGUGAGAACUGUUGCCAGGAGUAUAGGAAGGCACAAGUUGUGGUUCACAUUUUAAAUGUCUUAUAAUAUUAUUAACACAUCACAAAGUUUGUUUGGAAAUGCAAUGUGGUGUCAACAAAUCUAGAGUUGGUUGUUCUAGAACUCUUGUAGUAUUGCAGCACCACUAUGUCCUAAUGUUUGGUAGGUUAUAACUGCACCUUUUCUUCUUUGUUCACCCCCACCCGCCAACAACCCCCCUCUGCGCACGCGCACACGUGCUCUCCGCUCCUCCUUAUAGGGGCAAUUAUUAUGUUUGCUUACUUGGACUUAUGAUGUAGAACAAGAAAACAACGUUGUUUGUUUCUUCACCUCUUUGGAAAUAUUAGAAUGGAUAAAAUCAAUGAAAAUAACAAUUGAAAGGCUUUUUGAUUCACUAGGAAUUCGAGAGUUUGAUCUUCUACUUGCCCUAAGAUUCGUCAAGAUUGGCGUGCUCAUUCUCAUCACCUUUAGCUUCUUUCUCUAGAAUAGGU
rnacentral:misc_RNA from 1 species